UACGUAGGGGGCUAGCGUUGUCCGGAAUCAUUGGGCGUAAAGCGCGUGUAGGCGGUCCGGUAAGUCCGCUGUGAAAGUCGGGGGCUCAACCCUCGGAUGCCGGUGGAUACUGUCGGGCUUGAGUACGGAAGAGGCGAGUGGGAAUUCCUGGUGUAGCGGUGAAAUGCGCAGGAUAUCAGGAGGAACACCAAUUGCGAAGGCAGCUCGCUGGGACGUUACUGACGCUGAGACGCGAAAGCGUGGGGAGCAAACAGGAUGAGAAACCCUGGAUAAGUCCAU
rnacentral:rRNA from 1 species